rnacentral:tRNA from 1 species
GGUCCUGUGGCGCAAUGGUAGCGCAGGGGACUUUUAAUCCCUUGGUUGUGGGUUCGACUCCCACCGGGACCACCG